rnacentral:rRNA from 1 species
UACGUAGGGUGCGAGCGUUGUCCGGAAUUAUUGGGCGUAAAGCGCGUGUAGGCGGCUUAGUAAGUUGGGUGUGAAAGCCCUCGGCUUAACCGAGGAAGUGCGCCCAAAACUGCUUGGCUUGAGUACCGGAGAGGGUGGCGGAAUUCCCGGUGUAGAGGUGAAAUUCGUAGAUAUCGGGAGGAACACCGGUGGCGAAGGCGGCGACCUGGGUAGAUACUGACGCUGAGGUGCGAAAGCGUGGGGAGCAAACAGG